UAAAGUUGUCACCACAAAAAAUCUCUUCUAUCCAGUAUAUUGCAGGAAAUGUUGACAGUCCGUUUGGCUGAGUCAUAUUGGCAAACAAGUUUAAGCCGAGAAAAUGAUGGGAUAUGGCCAUGGUCACACAGGCAAUGGACUGCCUGCGUGAUACAUGGAUGCCUUUGGAAUUCUAAGAGAGAAAAGGAGAGAAAUCUCUUGUUCACGUGGAGAGUGGAAGAAAGAAACAUGGCAAAAAAUCACUCUGGAUAAGAAAGUCUAGAGGGGUUUAAUCUGCAAUACUCAGGUGUACUCAAUAAAAUCAAAGAUUCCCCUCAAAGUAUGAGAGCCAAGUGAUUAAGAUUACAGUUUACAAUGCAUUUUCUGAAAAGGAGGAAAGGAAGGGAAGCCAUUAUUUAAUGAAACAUCUUUAUUAUGCUCCAAAACCACAGCAACUAGUACAGAAAUAAAUCUUUCAUGUUUGGAGACUAUCUCCUGUGUGGAGAAUUUCCUCUUUGAGGAAAACUAUCAUUAUAUUGGUAUUGGUUAUUUUAAAAACCAUAGUUCUUUUGAUAGUGCACAAUUAUUGCUAGAAAAAAAUUAACUGUGAAUUCAGACUAGAACUUUUAGUGUGUUAAAAUGCUUACUGGAAAAUGAAUAUUAUGUCAAAAUGUGAAUCUUCAAGAACAGAUGCUAAAACAUUUAAAUUGAAGCCCAAGUUAGUGCUGCAAAAAUACAGAUUUAUGCACUGUUAAAAGAACCAUGUGAAUUUCCAAAUCAGAGAAA